GCCGGGCAUGGUGGCGCACACCUUUAAUCCCAGCACUUGGGAGGCAGAGGCAGGCGGAUUUCUGAGUUCGAGGCCAGCCUGGUCUACAAAGUGAGUGCCAGGACAGCCAGGGCUACACAGAGAAACCCUGUCUCGAAAAACUGUGUAGCCCUGGCUGUCCUGGAACUCACUCUGUAGACCAGGCUGGCCUUGAACUCAGAAAUCGGCCUGCCUCU
ensembl:misc_RNA Gm25735 predicted gene, 25735